rnacentral:rRNA from 1 species
UACGUAGGGGGCAAGCGUUAUCCGGAUUUACUGGGUGUAAAGGGAGCGUAGGCGGUGCAGCAAGUCAGAAGUGAAAGCCCGGGGCUCAACUCCGGGACUGCUUUUGAAACUGUUGAACUAGAUUGCAGGAGAGGUAAGUGGGAUUCCUAGUGUAGCGGUGAAAUGCGUAGAUAUUAGGGGGAACACCAGUGGCGAAGGCGGCUUACUGGACUGUAAAUGACGCUGAGGCUCGAAAGCGUGGGGAGCAAACAGG